UGAGUUGCUGGCUUCUUAGUGUUUC
rnacentral:piRNA from 1 species